rnacentral:lncRNA from 1 species
UCGGCCAAAAUCACGCAAGAUUUCUCCCAAAAUAAGCCUCACAAUACAGAACAUCAUUCACCUAAGAAUGACAUAAAUAAGCCUAUACAAAUCACUCAAGAUCUAUACAAAACGGUUGGAAAUUAUCUCAUAAACAAGGGCUUAAUUUCAAAGUGCAGAGGAGAGAAAACGAAGAAUCCAGAGAGAGUUCAAGAGACAAAAGAAAGUGAAAAGUCCGGCAUCUUAAAACCUAGUGCCAAAUUAAUAUCAAAGGCACUAGAAGGUCGUCCAUCCAACGGUGCAGAAGGCGACACUUGACAAGUUCAGGUGCAUCAUUCUUAUUUAAGAGAAGUCGUGUUUCAGCAACACGUUUGUGGCCAAGAAACAAAUCAACACCAAUUCAUCAUUUAAGGAUCCGACCCACAAGCCCAUCAA